AUUGGUGUAGGGGUUAUCACGUCUCCUUUACACGGAGAAGGUCGCUGGUUCAAAUCCUGCAUG
rnacentral:ncRNA from 14 species